AAAGUCGUAACAAGGUCUCCGUAGGUGAACCUGCGGAGGGAUCAUUAACACGUAUCCACGUACCACUAGUAAGCCCUUUUAUGGUUAACUCAAAGGUUUCGACGACCCAGUGCUAUGAGAUUUCACAAACAGUAGGACGGCCUCAAAAACCGUUGUCUCAUCUGGGUAGAAACCUCGUCUUGAAAUGACACAAAAAAUUUCCCGGACUCUUCGGGGUUCGCAGUUUGCUACUGUUUUGUAUCCUGUUGUACCUUUUACCAUUUGUAACCUUCUGUCUGAAACAUGGGGCGUUCCGAAAGGAAUUUGCCUCCUACGCGUAAACUUUAUACAACUCUUAGCAACGGAUAUCUUGGUUCUC
rnacentral:misc_RNA from 1 species